AAACAUCGCCUCUUGACAAAACAUAAGAGGUCCAGCCUGCCCAGUGACAAAGUUUAACGGCCGCGGUACCCUAACCGUGCGAAGGUAGCAUAAUCACUUGUUCUUUAAAUGGGGACUCGUAUCAACGGCACUACGAGGGCUAUACUGUCUCCUUUUUCUAAUCAGUGAAACUGAUCUCCCCGUGAAGAAGCGGGGAUUAAAAUAUAAGACGAGAAGACCCCAUGGAGCUUUAAACUCACCAUGCACCUCUGUGCCCCCCAUAUCCUUAAACACAACGGACCUGCAUGCUAGUUUUAGGUUGGGGUGACCACGGAGUACAACUUAACCUCCACAGCAAAUGGGCUAAUACCCUUAUCCACGAGAUACAACUCUAAGAAUUAUUAUACUAAUGCUUAUUGACCCGAUAUUCGAUCAAUGAACCAAGUUACCCUGGGGAUAACAGCGCAAUCUACUUCAAGAGCCCAUAUCGACAAGUAGGUUUACGACCUCGAUGUUGGAUCAGGGUAUCCCGGUGGUGCAGCCGCUACCAAUGGUUUGUUUGUUCAACGAUUAAAACCCUACGUGA
rnacentral:rRNA from 1 species